rnacentral:rRNA from 1 species
UACGUAGGGUGCAAGCGUUAAUCGGAAUUACUGGGCGUAAAGCGUGCGCAGGCGGUUUUGUAAGUCUGUCGUGAAAGCCCCGGGCUCACCUGGGAAUUGCGAUGGAGACUGCAAGGCUUGAAUCUGGCAGAGGGGGGGUAGAAUUCCACGUGUAGCAGUGAAAUGCGUAGAGAUGUGGAGGAACACCGAUGGCGAAGGCAGCCCCCUGGGUCAAGAUUGACGCUCAUGCACGAAAGCGUGGGGAGCAAACAGG